rnacentral:tRNA from 1 species
AACAGUUUCAGGAUUGUUGAGCUCCAUUGGCGGGAUUUCGCCGUCUUCGUUUCUCUUUCUUCGCGGACGAACACGCGCCAGGGGCUGAGCGCUGUGCGAUGUACCGACUUCAGGUCGAGUGCGCGCCGGCAUGUCUCUCGUGUUAGGGGCUUGUAGCUCAGUUGGUUAGAGCGCGCGCUUGAUAAGCGUGAGGUCGGAAGUUCAAGUCUUCCCAGGCCCACCAUUUUGAUCGAGUGCGGAGCAUUCGUCUUCUGGUACGGGGCCAUAGCUCAGCUGGGAGAGCGCGUGCUUUGCAAGCAUGAGGUCGUCGGUUCGAUCCCGUCUGGCUCCACCAGAUGGAAUUGAAGCUCGAUAGCGCCUCGUUCAUUUCGUCCGCGAAACAUCACUUCGCACUCAUUGGUCCGGAUGGACGGUGACGUGCGUGUUUUCUGACAUCGUAAAGAGGAGAUCGAUCCGAGUUUGGAUCAAGCGAAGCAAUUCGCCUGAGCCAUUCAUUAUCUCCGGGAUCAUUUCGGCGCUCGCUUCAAUCGUGAGAUUGGAUGCGGGUUGU